UACAGAGGGGGCAAGCGUUGUUCGGAAUUACUGGGCGUAAAGGGCGCGUAGGCGGCCUUCUAAGUCGAACGUGAAAUCCCCGGGCUCAACCCGGGAACUGCGUCCGAUACUGGAAGGCUUGAAUCCGGGAGAGGGAUGUGGAAUUCCAGGUGUAGCGGUGAAAUGCGUAGAUAUCUGGAGGAACAACGGUGGCGAAGGCGGCAUCCUGGACCAACACUGACGCUGAGUGAGCGAAAGCCAGGGGAGCAAACGGG
rnacentral:rRNA from 1 species